UACAGAGGGGGCUAGCGUUAUUCGGAAUUAUUGGGCGUAAAGGGCGCGUAGGCGGCCAUGCGUGUCUUCCGUGAAAUCCCUCGGCUUAACUGAGGACGUGCGGAAGAAACUGCAAGGCUCGAGUCCGGGAGAGGGGGGUGGAAUUCCCAGUGUAGCGGUGAAAUGCGCAGAUAUCGGGAGGAACACCGGUGGCGAAGGCGGUUCUCUGGGCCUUACCUGACGCUGAGGAGCGAAAGCGUGGGGAGCGAACAGG
rnacentral:rRNA from 1 species